rnacentral:rRNA from 1 species
AUUGAACGCUGGCGGCAUGCCUUACACAUGCAAGUCGAACGGCAGCACGGGUGCUUGCACCUGGUGGCGAGUGGCGAACGGGUGAGUAAUACAUCGGAACAUGUCCUGUAGUGGGGGAUAGCCCGGCGAAAGCCGGAUUAAUACCGCAUACGAUCUACGGAUGAAAGCGGGGGACCUUCGGGCCUCGCGCUAUAGGGUUGGCCGAUAGCUGAUUAGCUAGUUGGUGGGGUAAAGGCCUACCAAGGCGACGAUCAGUAGCUGGUCUGAGAGGACGACCAGCCACACUGGGACUGAGACACGGCCCAGACUCCUACGGGAGGCAGCAGUGGGGAAUUUUGGACAAUGGGCGAAAGCCUGAUCCAGCAAUGCCGCGUGUGUGAAGAAGGCCUUCGGGUUGUAAAGCACUUUUGUCCGGAAAGAAAUCCUUGGCUCUAAUACAGUCGGGGGAUGACGGCACCGGAAGAAUAAGCACCGGCUAACUACGUG